rnacentral:rRNA from 1 species
GACGAACGCUGGCGGCGUGCUUAACACAUGCAAGUCGAACGGAAAGGCCCUGCUUUUGUGGGGUGCUCGAGUGGCGAACGGGUGAGUAACACGUGAGUAACCUGCCCUUGACUUUGGGAUAACUUCAGGAAACUGGGGCUAAUACCGGAUAGGAGCUCCUGCCGCAUGGUGGGGGUUGGAAAGUUUCGGCGGUUGGGGAUGGACUCGCGGCUUAUCAGCUUGUUGGUGGGGUAGUGGCUUACCAAGGCUUUGACGGGUAGCCGGCCUGAGAGGGUGACCGGCCACAUUGGGACUGAGAUACGGCCCAGACUCCUACGGGAGGCAGCAGUGGGGAAUAUUGCACAAUGGGCGGAAGCCUGAUGCAGCAACGCCGCGUGCGGGAUGACGGCCUUCGGGUUGUAAACCGCUUUCGCCUGUGACGAAGCGUGAGUGACGGUAAUGGGUAAAGAAGCACCGGCUAACUACGUGCCAGCAGCCGCGGUGAUACGUAGGGUGCGAGCGUUGUCCGGAUUUAUUGGGCGUAAAGGGCUCGUAGGUGGUUGAUCGCGUCGGAAGUGUAAUCUUGGGGCUUAACCCUGAGCGUGCUUUCGAUACGGGUUGACUUGAGGAAGGUAGGGGAGAAUGGAAUUCCUGGUGGAGCGGUGGAAUGCGCAGAUAUCAGGAGGAACACCAGUGGCGGAGGGCGGGUCUCUGGCCCUUUCCUGACGCUGAGGAGCGAAAGCGUGGGGAGCGAACAGGCUUAGAUACCCUGGUAGUCCACGCUGUAAACGGUGGGUACUAGGUGUGGGGUCCAUUCCACGGGUUCCGUGCCGUAGCUAACGCUUUAAGUACCCCGCCUGGGGAGUACGGCCGCAAGGCUAAAACUCAAAGGAAUUGACGGGGCCCCGCACAAGCGGCGGAGCAUGCGGAUUAAUUCGAUGCAACGCGUAGAACCUUACCUGGGUUUGACAUGGAUCGGGAGUGCUCAGAGAUGGGUGUGCCUCUUUUGGGGUCGGUUCACAGGUGGUGCAUGGCUGUCGUCAGCUCGUGUCGUGAGAUGUUGGGUUAAGUCCCGCAACGAGCGCAACCCUUGUUCACUGUUGCCAGCACGUUAUGGUGGGGACUCAGUGGAGACCGCCGGGGUCAACUCGGAGGAAGGUGGGGAUGACGUCAAGUCAUCAUGCCCCUUAUGUCCAGGGCUUCACGCAUGCUACAAUGGCUGGUACAGAGAGUGGCGAGCCUGUGAGGGUGAGCGAAUCUCGGAAAGCCGGUCUCAGUUCGGAUUGGGGUCUGCAACUCGACCUCAUGAAGUCGGAGUCGCUAGUAAUCGCAGAUCAGCAACGCUGCGGUGAAUACGUUCCCGGGGCU